GGCUCCAUGGCCCAAAGGUGGGGCAGCGGAUUCCAAAUCCGAAGGUUGUGGGUACAAGUCCCACUGGGGUCA
rnacentral:tRNA from 1 species